UGCCUUGCAACUAAUGGGCA
rnacentral:siRNA from 1 species